rnacentral:rRNA from 1 species
AUGGCGCAUGAUGGUGGGCGGCGGUCUAGCUGGUCGGCUUCGGUCCGUUGGGCGGUGGGGAUUGGAGUACGGGAGAAAUCCUUGCCGGUCUUCGGCCCCGAUGCGGUGACACCUGUGGGUGCCACCAUUCCUUCCUGGAGGGUGUCGGUGAUAUCCAUCCCCCACCUCCCUCCGCGUGCUGGGGAAACCCUAGGACAUGUCCGGGCAGCAGCGUCGUCGGCGUCGCUUUCCUUCUUGGAGGAACGAAGAAAGCGGGUGGCUCUCUGCCGUGAUCAUCGGGGCAACUACAUGGGGGCUUCUGCGGUAGUGAUUAAUGAUAUGAUUCAGCAGAAGAUUCUUGAGGCCACGGCGUGCAGAGAAGCAUUUGCGCUGGCAGAUGAUCUUUAUGUUUGA